GACGAACGCUGGCGGCGUGCUUAACACAUGCAAGUCGAAUGGAAAGGCCCUGCUUUUGUGGGGUGCUCGAGUGGCGAACGGGUGAGUAACACGUGAGUAACCUGCCCUUGACUUGGGGAUAACUUCAGGAAACUGGGGCUAAUACCGGAUAGGAGCUCCUGCUGCAUGGUGGGGGUUGGAAAGUUUCGGCGGUUGGGGAUGGACUCGCGGCUUAUCAGCUUGUUGGUGGGGGAGUGGCUUACCAAGGCUUUGACGGGUAGCCGGCCUGAGAGGGUGACCGGCCACAUUGGGACUGAGAUACGGACCAGACUCCUACGGGAGGCAGCAGUGGGGAAUAUUGCACAAUGGGCGGAAGCCUGAUGAAGCAACGCCGCGUGCGGGAUGACGGCCUUCGGGUUGUAAACCGCUUUCGCCUGUGACGAAGCGUGAGUGACGGUAAUGGGUAAAGAAGCACCGGCUAACUACGUG
rnacentral:rRNA from 1 species